rnacentral:rRNA from 1 species
AGAGUUUGAUCAUGGCUCAGAAUCAACGCUGGCGGCGCGCUUAACACAUGCAAGUCGCACGAGAAAGUGGAGCAAUCCAUGAGUACAGUGGCGUACGGGUGAGUAACACGUGGAUCAUCUACCUCUUGAUGGGGAAUAACCCUGGGAAACCGGGGCUAAUACCGCAUAAGCCUGUAAAGGGAAAGCAGCAAUGCGUCGAGAGAGGAGUCCGCGGCCGAUUAGCUAGUUGGUAGGGUAAUGGCCUACCAAGGCAAUGAUCGGUAGCCGGCCUGAGAGGGCACACGGCCACACUGGCACUGAAACACGGGCCAGACUCCUACGGGAGGCAGCAGUGGGGAAUCUUGCACAAUGGAGGAAACUCUGAUGCAGCGACGCCGCGUGAGUGAUGAAGCCCUUCGGGGUGUAAAGCUCUUUCGGCAGGAACGAUAAUGACGGUACCUGAAGAAGAAGCUGCGGCUAACUACGUGCCAGCAGCCGCGGUAAUACGUAGGCAGCAAGCGUUGUUCGGAAUUACUGGGCGUAAAGAGUGUGUAGGCGGUUCUCUAAGUUCCGUGUGAAAUCUCCCGGCUCAACUGGGAGGGUGCGCGGGAAACUGGAGGGCUCGAGUAUGGGAGAGGAAAGCGGAAUUCCUGGUGUAGCGGUGAAAUGCGUAGAUAUCAGGAGGAACACCUGCGGUGUAGACAGCUUUCUGGACCAUCACUGACGCUGAGACACGAAAGCGUGGGUAGCAAACAGGAUUAGAUACCCUAGUAGUCC